CAAAGGCUAGACUGGGUUGUGCCAUGGCAGGUGAAAAUUUAUCCACAUUAUCAUUAAUGAUAGAGGAUGUUAUGAGAAUAAGACUUGUAGAACAGUUGAGUUUUGUAUACAGAUGUUUACUACAUAUUUUGGAACUCUGAUUAUGUGUUCAGUUGUGCUGGAGAUGAUGUGUAACAUGCUGUCUGUUUUGUUUUGGGAACAUUCUUUCAAAGUAGACUUGUUGUCAUGCAGGAUUUUAAUAUAAUGUACUGUACAAGACAGUGACUUUGGAAAAGUUUGGUUGUCAAAAGAUAACAUUAGAAUAGUUAUUGUCAUGCUGAGUAAAAGUAAUUUCCUCAUGUGUUGUUAAAUUUGGUUUGAGUUGCCCUAUCAAAGAUAGACAGCAAUGCAUUACAGAUGUGUUCAGGAGCAGUAAAAGCUACACUGUAAAACCCAGUGGUGCUUCUUACUAAAAAGAAGUUAGUUAUUUGUACUCAUUUCAGCUAAAUAGUAAGAGUAACUUUUAUAAAUUGAGUUGAGUAGAUCCAAAACUAACAGUUUCAUUUUCUAACUCAUUUACAAUAAGUACACAUAUGCUUAUCAUUUAUUUUGAGUAUUGUUGCUUUGAACUGCUCAAGUUGUGAUCACUGUGAUGACUGGCACUGUUUUUCCUGGACUUAUCGGCCAUUAGAGGAAAGUUUCAACAAAGAAUUUUAGCAACUUCAGUGUGAAAAUUACGAGGUAAGCAUUUUUUCUUUAAUUCUGUUAAAUGUUUAUAUAGAACUUGAAGGUGAAUUUAUUGAACUAUUUUGCUAAUUUGCAGAAAAAUGGGCCAUGUUAGCCCAGCUGUCGCCUAGCAUUGCUUAAAGUCGGCCUGGGUAAAUUUAAAAUAUAGCGAUUGGCGGCUUGUAUGGGGAAAUAGUAUUUCAAAACUACAUAGCAUACAACAUCAUGGUAAAACAGAGUUUAAUCAUUUUAACUACAGUUUUUCACUUCUACACCCAGCAUAUGAUGCAAUAAUUUUUUCAUGUUUUUUGCUAACUCUCUUCAGCUCUACUGCUAAUUUCACUGGAUUACCAGUCAGCAUGGAUGUAUAUCUUUCUCAGCUGAUACGAGUUUACACAAAGAAGAAAACUGGAGGAGCUGAUGAAAAUAUGGACCAUAUUUAUGCAAAAUAGGACAAAAACCACAUUCCUUCCAAAAGGGGAGCAUCCCUGGCUGGCCUUUUCAAUUCCCUUAUGGAGGAAUCUUCAGGAAUUUUCAAAAUAUGCAAGGAUAUAAAGGAGUCCUAUGAAGAUGCAGUUGCUAUGGUGGCUGAUGUGGAUGAAGAAGAGUUCCUUUCUCACCACACCAGAUGUUUUUUGUGCUUGAGGAUCAAGUUGGAAAGAUUUAUCACUUAUGAACAGACACACUGGUGUGUUUGUUUGGGCUAAUCUAUGUUGUGUGCAUCUGAGCUAUCCUGGAAAGUGUUGUAGCUUUUUUGAAUUCAUUCAUUUAGUGUUGCAUUAUUACUGUUGCCAUGGAUAAAUGUUAAAUCCUUGUAGUUCAGCUAUAUUUGUAUUUGCUGUGGUGUACAUCAAUAUAUCAGAAUAUUGUGAACAAGUAAAAUAAUAAUAAUCAAAAUGCAUCUUCUGUGAUUGCUAUGACUCGUGACAAAUAAAAUAAUUUGCUUUUAAAAGAUUGAAAUUAUUCUGACUUUGUACAGUAUUCUAAUUUAUUGAUGUACACCUAAAUCAAUGUUUCUAAAAGCAGUUAGCAAUUUGAAUAAAAUUACAAAUAAAUAAGUACCUUUAAGGUGUCAGCUUUAAAAGACCAAUCUUUGAUAUUUGAUAAUGGCUUUUAUAGUCAUGAUUUAUGUUUGAAGCUACAGUUUUGAGUUAAUAAAAACUGAAUGGAAAAAGUCAAAGUUUGUUGUGUUAAUAUGACUCAUACAGCUUUGUGCAAUCAAAACUGUAUCAGUUGAGUACCUAUAGUUACUCAAUCUCUACUGGAUUGAAUAACUCCAGUAGAGAUCGAAGUUGUUUAAAUAAGAACCUCUCAAGUUAAUUUGACUUAAUUUUAAUAUGAAUUUGUAAUCCAUUUAAAUAAGUAUGAAUAAAUAGUGCAUCUUAGUCCAACAUAGUUAAUGGUUUAAGUUGCAACAUACUAAGUAAAAUGAGUUAACAAACAAAUGUAUUUGAGUUGCCUUAUUAUUGCUUUGGGUUCCUUAGACUUUUAUUAUUAAAUGUAGAAAAGUCUACCUUUUAAAAAAUAUUUUAAAUACAAAGGUGUUUGUAAGAAUGAAACAGUAUCAGACAGGGGAAACAAGUUUUUAUUGAAAUUAAAUUAAACACAGACAUCCACAAAAACAGAUCCCUGCAAACUCUUUAUUUGCAUUAAUGCAGCGGACUGCAUAGGUCACUGUGCACCUUAAAUUAUAGGAUAUUCUUAAUAUUACCGUAUUCAUACAGCUUCAAUCCCACAUAAUAUUCCUACCAACAUGCUCUAUUUAGCAUGGUUUAAUAAAAAAUAAGUGUUAUUUAACUAUAUUUUAAAGUACAUGGACAACAUAGCCCACAAAACCAACGUAUUUUGUCCUGAUUCACAUGGUUGACUCCAAGCAAUAACUUUCUUGUUUACAGUAUAGUAAUGACAUAGUAAUGACAUUGCAGACAGCAAACUAAAGCCAUUUACAAAUAUGUUAAAAAGCUGCCUGUCAUGUAAACUUAAAACAUGAAGUAAUACAGCAGCAGCUUAAUGAAAAGUGAGUUAUAAAAUAAAUUAAUUGAAGCUUACCGUAAUUUUUGACAAAAUAAAACAGACGAAACGACACUUCCACAGGUUGGAUGUCUGGAUAAGAAAUCUGCUGAGUAAGCUUCAUCAGUGUGCACAACAGUGUGUCAUGCACAUUACCACAAGGUAGGACAGAUUGAUGGGUACCACCGGUAGAUGGCCAAUGAGUAAAUAAGUCAAACAGUAAGGCAGUGAACAGUCAGUGAAGUAGUCAGUCUGCUACUCACUCAGUGGGAGCAGGUGUGGUAAUCAGGCAGUCAAGCAAUUGCAGGGACCAGAGCAGGAGAUCGAGCCAGAGAUCCUGUGAAAAGUUGUACUAUGUUGUUUGCCUGCAAACAUGGGAUAAAUCCCCCACAAGCUGCAUUUUUGAUGUUUGUUGGGCCUUCUUUGUACUGCGUAAACUAAAACCAAGUGCAUCAAGUGACGAUUUGAGUUACAGUCACCCUUAGUUUGAUCACUUUUAAGUCUCACGUUUUUUGGUUUUCACAGACGACCCAUGAAACCAAUGUUUUUUGGUCCAUGAAAACGUUUAUACUGCUAUUGCUUUCCAGCACAGCAGCAUAAAAUAUCCACAUGACAUUAGUGCUUACAUCCUCUGUAACCUUUAUGAUCUU